UCGACGUCUACAGGACCGCCGUCAAGCUGCGCCGCUACCGCCAGCAGUUCAUCAUCAAUGAGGCGCAGCUGCAGUGCAUGCUUCAGGCAGCCAGGACUUACCUCAGCGACUUCCGCGUGUACCAAAACUGACAGCAAAAACCCACCAAGGUGAAGUGAGUUUGACGUCACUGGAGGGCAACUUGACUUUCAAGAACUGGACUUUGCGACGGUCAUCGUCUUCGCUGCUGGACGGGACUAAAUUGUGCCGUCUUUACUGACUUGUAACUAAAUUGUGCCCUAUAGAGACUUGAAAGCUGUAACAUUCGUUUCAAGUCUGUGCGACGCUUUUAUUUUUUAAAUUAUUUGUUAUUUGUUUGGCAUAAAUUGUAUCCAGGUAUAUACACGUUUUGUUUACAUGCUGAGAUGCAUAUUAAAAUUCAAGACAAAUUCAAGAAACUAAACUAGUUUAUAAAUGCAUUUAUGCUCACUUUGCGUCACCGUAUGUAGGCAUAACGUCAAGUAGUUUCUAUUUUAGACUGACAGACCAUGAAGUGAGGAGUUACUGAACUGGAUAUAUAUCAAUGCGUCUCUAGCAUUCAACUGAAUGAAUUAAGAGAUUUUAAAAUUUUAGUUUACAAUCUCGGUGCGUUAAUUACCACUUUCGUUUCAAAAAUUUCACACUUCUUGUAUAUUUAGAAUUGAAGCAUAGUUUGACUGCCACGUAUGUUUACGUCGACUUCUUGAAAUUGUAAAUAGAUAAGUUUGUCUGCUUUUUGCUACGUAAUUCGCUUGCUAAUUUAGAUUCGACAUAUUUUUUGUUAAUUUUAAAUUCAAUUGACCCUGAGUUCUAGAAUUUUUGAAACUGAUGACAGUGUAGCUGGACACUGAAGCGCUAUAGAGGUAUUGUCAAUUUUUUAUGGUAUUUCCGUUGCCAUUAAACUUUUUGUGAAUUUGCGGCUCAAACAAUCGGGAGACAUUUAUGCUUUUCUAACAUUCAUUCAAUGAUAUAAUCGUAAUAUGCUGUGUUCUUCGGAAGAAAAUUAUGCAUGAAAAUUGAAGAAAUAGAAUUUUAACGUUUUUUUUACUUUCUAUCUCACUGAUAACGGUUGAUUUCAUCGAGUCUAGUUUAAUGACGCAGUUAACUUUGUUAGCGUUUUAUUGUAACGUUUUCAGACCACUACUGGCCAAUGCCAACACGGGGGCAUACUGAGCAACGCCGGCUACAGGCCAUUAGUCGUUGAAAAACUGCUGAAAAAAUUGAAACUCGCUUUAAAAAAUUUUUAAAAUUUAGUUGUAAUUCUAUGUUUAUUAUUACUCAAAGUAACAAUUCAUGUUUUAAAUGCGUGAUUGUCAUGAGACACAACACAUUGCAGGUUGAGUGCGUUAAUUGCACACUAAACAUGACAGUGCGGAGGUAAUUUAAUCACUGUUAAAAUGACAUUGCCAUAAUCACAGUUAUAAAAUCGUUAACACGUAGCAGCAAUGUUUUUCAUAAUUCUAGCGGCUUGCUCAUUUAUGUAAGUCGUUUUCCCAGUCGGUUUAUUAAUUUUCCAAUGUAUUUCAUUUAUUGAAUGUCAUUCUGAUAAUUUCUUGCGCCAGUUGAGCUCAAGAGCCUACAUUGGGAACUCAAAUCUACGGAAUUAGAGACCAGUAUUUAACUAUGUCAUUCACAUGAACAUUAGUUUUAAGGCGUUCGGGAUUGUUUCAAUAAUU
rnacentral:lncRNA from 1 species